rnacentral:rRNA from 1 species
UACGUAGGGGGCAAGCGUUAUCCGGAUUUACUGGGUGUAAAGGGGGCGUAGACGGCAGAGCAAGUCUGAAGUGAAAGCCCGCGGCCCAACUGCGGGACUGCUUUGGAAACUGCCCGGCUAGAGUGCUGGAGAGGUAAGCGGAAUUCCUAGUGUAGCGGUGAAAUGCGUAGAUAUUAGGAGGAACACCAGUGGCGAAGGCGGCUUACUGGACAGUAACUGACGUUGAGGCUCGAAAGCGUGGGGAGCAAACAGG